rnacentral:rRNA from 1 species
GAUGAGGUUGUUGGCGGGGUAACGGCCCACCAAGCCUACGAUCAGUAGGGGUUCUGAGAGGAAGGUCCCCCACAUUGGAACUGAGACACGGUCCAAACGCCUACGGGAGGCAGCAGUGAGGAAUAUUGGUCAAUGGACGGAAGUCUGAACCAGCCGAGUAGCGUGCAGGAUGACGGCCCUAUGGGUUGUAAACUGCUUUUAUGUGGGAAUAAAGUGAGGGACGUGUCCCUUUUUGUAGGUACCACAUGAAUAAGGACCGGCUAAUUCCGUGCCAGCAGCCGCGGUAAUACGGAAGGUCCGGGCGUUAUCCGGAUUUAUUGGGUUUAAAGGGAGCGUAGGCCGUCUUUUAAGCGUGUUGUGAAAUACUGUCGCUCAACGACAGAGGUGCAGCGCGAACUGGGAGACUUGAGUGCGCGGAAUGCAGGCGGAAUUCGUCGUGUAGCGGUGAAAUGCUUAGAUAUGACGAAGAACUCCGAUUGCGAAGGCAGCUUGCAGUAGCGUAACUGACGCUGAAGCUCGAAAGUGCGGGUAUUGAACAGGAUUAGAUACCCUGGUAGUCCGCACGGUAAACGAUGGAUGCUCGCUGUGUGCCCCUGGGUACGCGGCCAAGCGAAAGCGUUAAGCAUCCCACCUGGGGAGUACGCCGGCAACGGUGAAACUCAAAGGAAUUGACGGGGGCCCGCACAAGCGGAGGAACAUGUGGUUUAAUUCGAUGAUACGCGAGGAACCUUACCCGGGCUUGAAUUGCAGGAGAACGAUACAGAGAUGUUGAGGUCCUUCGGGACUCCUGUGAAGGUGCUGCAUGGUUGUCGUCAGCUCGUGCCGUGAGGUGUCGGCUUAAGUGCCAUAACGAGCGCAACCCCUCUCCGUAGUUGCCAUCAGGUGAUGCUGGGCACUCUGCGGACACUGCCGCCGUAAGGUGUGAGGAAGGUGGGGAUGACGUCAAAUCCGCACGGCCCUUACGUCCGGGGCUACACACGUGUUACAAUGGCAGGUACAGAGAGCCGGUCGUAUGCAAAUACGAUCCAAUCCUUAAAGCCUGUCUCAGUUCGGACUGGGGUCUGCAACCCGACCCCACGAAGCUGGAUUCGCUAGCGAUCGCGCAUCAGCCAUGGCGCGGUGAAUACGUUCCCGGGCCUUGUACACACCGCCCGUCAAGCCAUGAAAGCCGGGGGCGCCUGAAGUCCGUGACCGCAAGGAGC